rnacentral:rRNA from 1 species
CGAGGAAAAGAAACUAACAAGGAUUCCCCUAGUAACUGCGAGUGAACCGGGAAAAGCUCAAAUUUUGAAUCUGGCGGUCCAAGGGCCGUCCGAGUUGUAAUCUAGAGAAGCGUCUUCCGCGCUGGACCGUGUAUAAGUUUCCUGGAAUGGAACGUCGUAGAGGGUGACAAUCCCGUCUUUGACACGGACUCCCAGUGCUAUGUGAUGCGCUCUCGACGAGUCGAGUUGUUUGGGAAUGCAGCUCAAAUAGGGUGGUAAAUUCCAUCUAAAGCUAAAUACAGGCGAGAGACCGAUAGCGAACAAGUACCGUGAGGGAAAGAUGAAAAGAACUUUGGAAAGAGAGUUAAACAGUACGUGAAAUUGCUGAAAGGGAAACGCUUGAUGUCAGUCGCAUCGUCCGGGGAUCAGCCUCGCUCUUUUGCUCGGCGUACUUCCUGGUCGAUGGGUCAGCAUCGGUUUCGACCGUCGGAAAAUGGCUCGAGGAACGUGGCACUCUUCGGGGUGUGUUAUAGCCUCGAGUCGAAUACGACGGUCGGGACCGAGGAACUCAGCACGACCUUCGGGUUCGGGGCUUCGGCUCACGUUCGCGUGCUUAGGAUGCUGGCAUAAUGGCCUUAAGCGACCCG